rnacentral:rRNA from 1 species
UACAGAGGUCUCAAGCGUUGUUCGGAUUCAUUGGGCGUAAAGGGUGCGUAGGCGGCGCGGUAAGUCGGGUGUGAAAUCUUGGAGCUUAACUCCGAAACUGCAUUCGAUACUGCCGUGCUUGAGGACUGGAGAGGAGACUGGAAUUUACGGUGUAGCGGUGAAAUGCGUAGAUAUCGUAAGGAAGACCAGUGGCGAAGGCGGGUCUCUGGACAGUUCCUGACGCUGAAGCACGAAGGACAGGGGAGCAAACGGG